rnacentral:rRNA from 1 species
AGUGAACGCUGGCGGCGCGCUUAACACAUGCAAGUCGAACGAGAACGGAUUAUAGCUUGCUAUAAUUGUCAGCUAAGUGGCGCACGGGUGAGUAAUGUAUAGGUAAUAUGCCUCUUACUAAGGGAUAACAAAUGGAAACGUUUGCUAAUACCUUAUACUCCUUAUUAACAGAAGUUAAUAAGGGAAAGAUUUAUUGGUAAGAGAUUAGCCUGUAUUGUAUCAGUUAGUUGGUGGGGUAAUGGCUUACCAAGACUAUGACACAUAACUGGUUUGAGAGGAUGAUCAGUCACACUGGAACUGGGACACGGUCCAGACUCCUACGGGAGGCAGCAGUGGGGAAUAUUGCACAAUGGACGGAAGUCUGAUGCAGCAACGCCGCGUGGAGGAUGACACAUUUCGGUGCGUAAACUCCUUUUAUAUGAGAAGAUAAUGACGGUAUUAUAUGAAUAAGCACCGGCUAACUCCGUGCCAGCAGCCGCCGUAA